rnacentral:rRNA from 1 species
UACGUAGGGGGCAAGCGUUGUCCGGAUUUAUUGGGCGUAAAGAGCGUGUAGGCGGCCACACAGGUCUGCUGUGAAAACUCGAGGCUCAACCUCGAGCUGUCGGUGGAAACCGUGUGGCUAGAGUCCGGAAGAGGAGAGUGGAAUUCCCGGUGUAGCGGUGAAAUGCGUAGAUAUCUGGAGGAACACCGGUGGCGAAGGCGGCAUCCUGGACCGGCACUGACGCUGAGGAGCGAAAGCCAGGGGAGCAAACGGG